rnacentral:rRNA from 1 species
AUUGAACGCUGGCGGCAGGCCUAACACAUGCAAGUCGAGCGGAGCGGCGGACGGGUGAGUAAUUCCUAGGUAUCUGACUGGUAGUGGGGGAUAACGUCCGGAAACGGGCGCUAAUACCGAAUACUUUCAGAUGAGUCUAGGUCGGUUUAGCUAGUUGGUGGGGUAAAGGCCUACCCAGGCGACGAUCCGUAACUGGUUUGAGAGGAUGAUCAGUCACACUGGAACUGAGACACGGUCCAGACUCCUACGGGAGGCAGCAGUGGGGAAUAUUGGACAAUGGGCGAAAGCCUGAUCCAGCCAUGCCGCGUGUGUGAAGAAGGUCUUCGGAUUGUAAAGCACUUUAAGUUGGGAGGCGUUACCAACAGAAGAAGCACCGGCUAACUUCGUGCCAGCAGCCGCGGUAAUUC